rnacentral:rRNA from 1 species
GAGACUUCGGUUGAAGUUGUUAUAAUCCUAGUGGCGGACGGGUGAGUAACGCGCGGGUAACCUGCCUCACACUGGGGGAUAACAGUCAGAAAUGACUGCUAAUACCGCAUAAGCGCACGGGAUUGCAUGAUCCAGUGUGAAAAACUCCGGUGGUGUGAGAUGGACCCGCGUUGGAUUAGCCAGUUGGCAGGGUAACGGCCUACCAAAGCGACGAUCCAUAGCCGGCCUGAGAGGGUGGACGGCCACAUUGGGACUGAGACACGGCCCAGACUCCUACGGGAGGCAGCAGUGGGGAAUAUUGCACAAUGGGGGAAACCCUGAUGCAGCGACGCCGCGUGAAGGAAGAAGUAUCUCGGUAUGUAAACUUCUAUCAGCAGGGAAGAAAAUGACGGUACCUGACUAAGAAGCCCCGGCUAACUACGUGCCAGCAGCCGCGGUAAUACGUAGGGGGCAAGCGUUAUCCGGAUUUACUGGGUGUAAAGGGAGCGUAGACGGAGCAGCAAGUCUGAUGUGAAAGGCGGGGGCUCAACCCCCGGACUGCAUUGGAAACUGUUGAUCUUGAGUACCGGAGAGGUAAGCGGAAUUCCUAGUGUAGCGGUGAAAUGCGUAGAUAUUAGGAGGAACACCAGAGGCGAAGGCGGCUUACUGGACGGUAACUGACGUUG